ACAUCAAGGGCUGAAGGGCUGUACUGCGCUGUAACGUUCUAUGUUCAAAGUUUGAUGAACAGUUACUAGAUCCUGUCAUUGAAAAGGAUCUUUUUGGUUCUGAAGAAGAGUCAUACCAUAUUCAUAACGUUAACUCUCUUUUUCUCUCUCCACAGAUUCUGCCUGACGACUUGAGUUUCUCCAGCAUUCUCUGUUUUUACUACAUACAGUUACAAUCUAUUGAAUCAAUCAGAAUUGGCUGAAUGAAGUGAGAUGCAAAUGAAACAGACGAUUGGCUUUUCACUUGAUGGUGUCGCUUAUCAUUGCAACUGCAAUAAACAGAAUUGCUACAGAGACCAGAAACCAAUCAGACAAAGGGAGACAGGAGGGUGGGCCAUGAAAAAAAUCAAUAAAAAGAAACAAAAUUUGUCGGUGGACAGCUCGAAACUGUUGAGGAGACUCGAAGAGUGACGAGAGCAGCAGCCAUGGCACUUGAAACCAUCUGUCCAAAGUAGUUUGAUAAAGUGAAUCUGAAGGCAGAAGCAAACGUUGCUGGAGAAACUCAGCAGCUCUGGCAGCAUCUACACAGAGGGAAACAGUCUACAUUUCGGGUCCAGUGACUCUUUAUCUGAAGAACCCAACUGGACCCGAAAUAUCAGCUCUGCUUUCUGCCCACACAUGUUCAGACCGACUGAGUUUCUCCAACAAUUCCUGUUUUCGUUCCAAAAUUGCAGCAUCUGCCGGUCUUUGCUUCGUCAAUGGAAAGGCAGCGCAAUGAGGAAACGGUAUUUUCUGCAUUGAGCGGCUGCAUGAUCUCAAACAAAUGAUAGUCUGAAUUCCAGUGUUCUCUCACGUUAGCUCCUCAGGAUUUCCCAGUGACUUUUGUGUUCCAGAGGCGACUCCCGACAUCGGCACCUGAAUAAUGAGGUUAGGUUGGGGGAUCGGUGGUUUAUUUUAUUCUUUGUUCCGGCAGGCUAUUUAUCAUUCAUCCCGGAAGCAAGGCUUACUUUUCCUACGACGAGAAUAACCAGGAGAAACUCCAAAACCAUGGGAAGAAGGUCAUUGAAGCCGUGGCCAACGCG